rnacentral:sRNA from 1 species
AACUCCCAGAGGGUAUGGCGGCCGCAGCAGCGGGCAGUUGAGUUUCCGGGGCGACCCAGGUCCUCCGGCGGAAGCGGGAGCCUCUGUCGGCCGCGGAAGCCUGGAGUGGGCGGUACGCAGACGCGCGCGGUGAGACCCGCUGUCUGCUCAGCGGACUCUGCCCGCCCCCACCUCCCCCUGCGUCGGGCCGACAUGAAGGACUCGCUGGUGCUGCUGGGCCGUGUCCCGGCGCACCCGGACUCCCGCUGCUGGUUCCUGGCCUGGAACCCCGCGGGGACCCUGCUGGCCUCGUGCGGCGGCGACCGGAGAAUCCGCAUCUGGGGCACGGAGGCUCCAGAGCCUGGCCUGCGCUCCGCCUUUAGGUGACAGCUGGAUCUGCAAGUCUGUCCUUUCUGAAGGCCACCAGCGCACCGUGCGGAAGGUAGCCUGGUCCCCCUGCGGUAAUUACCUGGCCUCUGCCAGCUUUGAUGCUACCACUUGCAUUUGGAAGAAGAACCAGGAUGACUUUGAGUGUGUAACCACUCUCGAGGGCCAUGAAAAUGAGGUCAAGUCAGUGGCUUGGGCC